UACGGGGGGGGCAAGCGUUGUUCGGAAUUACCGGGCGUAAAGGGCUCGUAGGUGGCCAACUAAGUCAGACGUGAAAUCCCUCGGCUUAACCGGGGAACUGCGUCUGAUACUGGAUGGCUUGAGUUUGGGAGAGGGAUGCGGAAUUCCAGGUGUAGCGGUGAAAUGCGUAGAUAUCUGGAGGAACACCGGUGGCGAAGGCGGCAUCCUGGACCAACACUGACGCUGAGUGAGCGAAAGCCAGGGGAGCAAACGGG
rnacentral:rRNA from 1 species